rnacentral:rRNA from 1 species
UACGGAGGGAGCUAGCGUUGUUUGGAAUUACUGGGCGUAAAGCGCGCGUAGGCGGCUUUGUAAGUUAGAGGUGAAAGCCCGGGGCUCAACCCCGGAAUUGCCUUUAAGACUGCAUCGCUAGAAUCCGGGAGAGGUGAGUGGAAUUCCGAGUGUAGAGGUGAAAUUCGUAGAUAUUCGGAAGAACACCAGUGGCGAAGGCGGCUCACUGGACCGGUAUUGACGCUGAGGUGGCGAAAAGCGUGGGGAGCAAACAGG